GAUAGUCGAGCCACGUGAUACGAUAAAAAAACAAUGGCGCCUUACAAUAUAAAGUGUUUCUUAAUUUCUGUUCAUUAAGCCUUAGAAAUUGCCUGUAACAAAGUUAGUGAUAAGUGUAAACUAUUAACUGAUAACUAGGAAAGUGGACAGAAUAAAGUCGAGUGCGCCCGCUAAUAAAAUAUUAUCCAAUCGAAUUCAAGCAAGAUUCUUGGAACAAAUCAACAAUGUCUGCGCACGAUUGUCCUCUAGAAAUGCUGCAUUUAACAGCAUUCUUCUGAAAAAGAAGUGUCUCACAGUUGAUGCAGAAUGCGGAAAACAUUAUUCCAGAAAUAUUACACGAAAUAUCAGAAAGCCUUCCGUUCGUCCUUGACCUGUUCUGCACAAUGGCAAUAGCUGGGAAAAACCAAUCGGCCAAUAAGCUUGCCCCGAUUGUUGCUGCCUAGUAUGCCAUCCUCAUGAAUGCCAGGAAUGAGAAGUUGUCAGCGUGGCACAGACUCACAACAGUUGUAUCCAUCAAAGGGCACUUUGAUAACUCUGCACUAACACUUUUCAACCGCACGGGGCUGACAAUGUCGACAUCAUCCAAACUGCGCCUACUGGAUGAAGCUGGUGAAAUGCUGGAAGACAACAUCGCCAGAAGUCUAAGAAAAAACCCACUUGUCAAAAUCACGGGUGACAAUUUGGACAUCUAUGUCAGAACAGGACAUCAUUCACUGGACAGACACGAAAAGGACCUCCACAUGUUUGCCUCAAAUAUCAUCUUCAGCAGGGUAGAUUGCACAACUAGAAUCGUUCAGCACUAGUUUCACCAUGCCAUCACUUGGAACACUUUCUCCAGAGAAGUUCUUUCCCAAUGGUCACCACAGAGACACUUUGACAAACACCUACUGUGUAUUGGUAGGAAGAAUACUGGCAGAGCUUAAAGACUUCUCCUGGCUUCAAAAAGUGCUCCCAGCCCACAUUUAUCAUCUUUACCAAGCCGAGAUGAGGCAAUGAAGUUGACUGAAUCCAUAUAAAAUGAUAUAUAAUUAAACAUGUAUACCUACAUCACAGCGGUUAAUAUUUAGCUAUUGAUUUUUUUUGUGGAUAAAUAAGGAAAGGGAAAAAAAUACCAAUAAGAAUCAUUCUUGGAAGAAAUGAUCAAUACAUUAAUGAUCAAAAUAUACUUAUGUUAAACAAAUGCCCUGCACAAGCAUUUUGUCCUCCAAAUAACACAUGUGUAAAGUAUGGCCUUUGCUGGGAGUUGAACCCAGAUUUCUUCCCACAGAGCAGGGGAAGUGUUCUUACAUUGAACUACAAAGGCUAAUAAAUUGUAUAUGAAAUUAAGAGGAUAUAUGUCUUGACUGUUCUAUGGGGCCCAUAUUCCCUACUUCACUUACUGCUGUUUUUGAUUUUGUAUGUGAAUACAUGUGAAAUCCUGUAUAAACAGCAUUUUUGUGUGAGUUCUUGUUUACGCCUCAUAAGAUUUAGUUUAAAGAGUAAAUGUAUGUUAAAAUUAAUGCAUUAAUUUAUGUACUGAUAAGUAUGAGUACUCCUCUUAAAUAUAAUUACAGUCAAUAUGUAUUUCCUGAUGUAAAUUAUUUAUUGAUUCAUGUACUCAGUGUGCGAAAUUCGCACUAGCUUGAAGGGUUUUGGCUAGUGAAAAUCCUUUCAAGGUAGUGGAAAUUUAAAAAUGUAUAUAGUUGGGCUAGUAAGAAAUUUAACUUUUCUAUACAUGUGUAAAAGAAUUUGGGAUAUUACUUUCAAAUUUGAAUUUUCGCACACUGCUUGUACUACUUAUGUUAUUGUUAUUUUAAACGUUUUGUAACCUCAUAAUUUCAAGUCCUUGAUAAAAUACUGUAUAUAUGUCUAUUAAUGU